AAAUGUGAGACGGGUGGUUGUGUUGUGUUUGAUGUUAGUUGGUAAAUGUGAGACAGGUGGUUGUGUUGUGUUUGAUGUUAGUUGGUAAAUGUGAGACGGGUGGUUGUGGUGUUUUUGAUGUUAGUUGGUAAAUGUGAGACGGGUGGUUGUGUUGUUUUUGAUGUUAGUUGUUAAAUGUGAGACGGGUGGUUGUGUUGUGUUUGAUGUUAGUUGGUAAAUGUGAGACGGGUGGUUGUGUUGUGUUUGAUGUUAGUUGGUAAAUGUGAGACGGGUGGUUGUGGUGUUUUUGAUGUUAGUUGGUAAAUGUGAGACGGGUGGUCAUGGUGUUUUUGAUGUUAGUUGGUAAAUGUGAGACAGGUGGUUGUG